UAAAGCUAUAGUGCCCAGUUUCUGUCUCCCUCAUGAGGAAUUCUAAGUAUUGACAACAAUGUUCGGCGCGUCCACAUGGUACAAGCCUUCCGUAACUGCGCUUCCCCCCGC